GCCUCAGUAGCUCAAGGGUAGAGCAACCGGCUGUUAACCGGUAGGUUGUAGGUUCGAAUCCUACCUGAGGAGCCA
rnacentral:tRNA from 1 species